rnacentral:rRNA from 1 species
UCCUAUGGGGCUCAGCAGGCGCGAAACCUUCGCAAGGGGCGAAACCACGAUAAGGGUAUACCAAAUGCAUGCUGCUAUGAGUAACUCUGACUAGUAAACACCACUGAGACUACCCGACU